UGAUAUUCCUAUCACGAUUAUAGCAAAUCAAGAUCCCUGUUUCAAAUAUAGGUUUUUGGACUAACUUAUGGUAUACUAUGAGAACCAAACUAUCUUUCAGUAAGGCCUUUCGGUUUUAAAUAGAUAGUGAAUAAGGAAAGUCGGUACAGACCCUGAAGGAUAUGCUUAAAGUUUGUGUUAUUGAAUUUAGAGAUUAUGGAAAGACUAAUUACCUCUAAU
rnacentral:lncRNA from 1 species